AACGAACGCUGGCGGCGCGCUUAACACAUGCAAGUCGAACGAGAAGGCGUAGCAAUACGCUUGUACAGUGGCGAACGGGUGAGUAAUACGUGGGCGACCUACCCUCGAGUGGGGAAUAACCCGCCGAAAGGCGGGCUAAUGCCGCGUACGCUUCCAUCUUUAUGGAGGUGGAAGGAAAGCCGUGCCGUGGGCACGGCGCUCAAGGAUGGGCUCACGUCCUAUCAGCUUGUUGGAGGGUAACGGCCUACCAAGGCUCCGACGGGUAGCUGGUCUGAGGGGACGAUCAGCCACACUGGCACUGCGACACGGGCCAGACUCCUACGGGAGGCAGCAGUGGGGAAUAUUGCGCAAUGGGCGAAAGCCUGACGCAGCGACGCCGCGUGGGGGAUGAAGGUCUUCGGAUUGUAAACCCUUU
rnacentral:rRNA from 1 species